AGGACGAACGCUGGCGGCGUGCUUAACACAUGCAAGUCGAGCGGAAAGGCCCUUCGGGGUACUCGAGCGGCGAACGGGUGAGUAACACGUGAGUAAUCUGCCCCUAGCUCUGGGAUAGCUCCGGGAAACCGGGAUUAAUACCGGAUACGACUGCUACGGACAUCUGUGGUGGUGGAAAGAACUUCGGCUAGGGAUGAGCUCGCGGCCUAUCAGGCUUGUUGGUGGGUAACGGCCUACCAAGGCGACGACGGGUA
rnacentral:rRNA from 1 species